UACUUGUCAUGUAGCAUAUCAUGUUUGGCCUCAUAGGAAUCAAUACGUGACCAGAGUGUUCACAGUAAGCAGCCUUUGAAGGCUUUUCGAAGUGCAGCUUCAUCCAAAUUCCUUCCAAUAAAUACUAGUUUGUUGAUUCUUUUCUCAUCAGGCUCCCAUGAUUUAGCUGGGCAUCCCUCCAACAUAGAGUGCACACCCUGUAAAUUUUUGAUUUUGAGAAAGGGUUGCUAUGGAUGAAUACAAAAUUAGAAUGGAAUGAAUAGUAAAAUCACUAACAGAAGUGCUUUCUGU
rnacentral:lncRNA from 1 species